rnacentral:rRNA from 1 species
AGACCGGCUUACUGGCCGUGCUUUUGUACGUACUGGUAUAAUCGGUUUCUCCUUUCUGACGAACUAUAAUGCCAUUAAUUUGGUGUUAUAAGGAAUCAGGACUGUUACUUUGAAAAAAUUUGAGUGUUUAAAGCAGGCUCACGCUUGAAUACAUUAGCAUGGAAUAACGGAAUAGGACGUUUGAUUCUAUUUUGUUGGUUUCUAGGAUCGACGUA